rnacentral:rRNA from 1 species
AGUGAACGCUGGCGGUAGGCCUAACACAUGCAAGUCGAACGGCAGCACAGUAAGAGCUUGCUCUUACGGGUGGCGAGUGGCGGACGGGUGAGGAAUACAUCGGAAUCUACUUUUUCGUGGGGGAUAACGUAGGGAAACUUACGCUAAUACCGCAUACGACCUACGGGUGAAAGCAGGGGAUCUUCGGACCUUGCGCGAUUGAAUGAGCCGAUGUCGGAUUAGCUAGUUGGCGGGGUAAAGGCCCACCAAGGCGACGAUGGGUAGCUGGUCUGAGAGGAUGAACGGCCACACUGGGACUGAGAAACGGACCAGACUCCUACGGGAGGCAGCAGUGGGGAAUAUUGCACAAUGGGCGAAAGCCUGAUGCAGCGACGCCGCGUGAGGGAUGACGGCCUUCGGGUUGUAAACCUCUUUCAGCAGGGAAGAAGCGAAAGUGACGGUACCUGCAGAAGAAGCACCGGCUAACUACGUG